UGGGGAAUAUUGCACAAUGGGCGCAAGCCUGAUGCAGCCAUGCCGCGUGUAUGAAGAAGGCCUUCGGGUUGUAAAGUACUUUCAGCGGGGAGGAAGGGAGUAAAGUUAAUACCUUUGCUCAUUGACGUUACCCGCAGAAGAAGCACCGGCUAACUCCGUGCCAGCAGCUGCGGUAAUACGGAGGGUGCAAGCGUUAAUCGGAAUUACUGGGCGUAAAGCGCACGCAGGCGGUUUGUUAAGUCAGAUGUGAAAUCCCCGGGCUCAACCUGGGAACUGCAUCUGAUACUGGCAAGCUUGAGUCUCGUAGAGGGGGGUAGAAUUCCAGGUGUAGCGGUGAAAUGCGUAGAGAUCUGGAGGAAUACCGGUGGCGAAGGCGGCCCCCUGGACAAAGACUGACGCUCAGGUGCGAAAGCGUGGGGAGCAAACAGG
rnacentral:rRNA from 1 species